AGUGAACGCUGGCGGUAGGCCUAACACAUGCAAGUCGAACGGCAGCACAGGAGAGCUUGCUCUCUGGGUGGCGAGUGGUGGACGGGUGAGGAAUACAUCGGAAUCUACUUUUUCGUGGGGGAUAACGUAGGGAAACUUACGCUAAUACCGCAUACGACCUACGGGUGAAAGCAGGGGAUCUUCGGACCUUGCGCGAUUGAAUGAGCCGAUGUCGGAUUAGCUAGUUGGCGGGGUAAAGGCCCACCAAGGCGACGAUCCGGAGCUGGUCCGAGGGGAUGAGCAGCCACACUGGAACUGAGAACCGGUCCAGACUCCUACGGGAGGCAGCAGUGGGGAAUAUUGGAGAAUGGGCGCAAGCCUGAUCCAGCCAUACCGCGUGGGUGAAGAAGGCCUUCGGGUUGUAAAGCCCUUUUGUUGGGAAAGAAAUCCAGCUGGUUAAUACCCGGUUGGGAUGACGGUACCCAAAGAAUAAGCACCGGCUAACUUCGUGCCAGCCGCCGCAGUAA
rnacentral:rRNA from 1 species